rnacentral:misc_RNA from 1 species
GAUGAAGAACGCAGCGAAAUGCGAUACUUGGUGUGAAUUGCAGAAUCCCGUGAACCAUCGAGUCUUUGAACGCAAGUUGCGCCUCAAGCCAUUAGGUUGAGGGCACGUCUGCCUGGGCGUCACAUAUCGUUGCCUGAUGCCAGUUUCCUCGUGAUGGGUGACUGUGCAGGGCGAAUGAUGGCUUCCCGUGAGCAUUGUUGCCUCAUGGUUGGUUGAAAAUUGAGUCCUUGGUAGGGAGCGCCGUGAUAGAUGGUGGUUGAGUGACGAACGAGACCCAAUCAUGUGAGACCCCUACCGAAUUUGGCCUUCAUGACCCACAUGCGUCUUUGGAACGCUCAUGACGAGACCUCAGGUCAGGCGGGGCUGCCCGCUGAGUUUAAGCAUAUCAAUAAGCGGAGGA